AACAAACGCUGGCGGCGUGUCUUAAGCAUGCAAGUUGAGCGGCAAGGAGGAGAGAUCCUCCCUAGAGCGGCGGACUGGUGAGUAACGCGUGGGUAAUCUAUCGUAGGCAUGGGGAUAGUCACUAGAAAUAGUGGGUAAUACCGAAUACGUUCCAUGAGGGGAGUAUUCAUGGAAGAAAGGGUGCUACGGCACUGGCCUUAGGUGAGCUCGCGUCCCAUUAGCUAGUUGGUGAGGUAAAGGCCCACCAAGGCGAUGAUGGGUAGCCGGCCUGAGAGGGUGUACGGCCACACUGGGACUGAGAUACGGCCCAGACUCCUACGGGAGGCAGCAGCUAAGAAUAUUCCGCAAUGGACGAAAGUCUGACGGAGCGACGCCGCGUGGAUGAAGAAGGCCGAAAGGUUGUAAAGUUCUUUUGCUAGGGGAGAAUAAGUGAGGGAGGGAAUGCCUCAGGGUAUGACAAGGACUAGCGAAUAAGCCCCGGCAACUACGUGCCAGC
rnacentral:rRNA from 1 species